rnacentral:misc_RNA from 1 species
AGAAUGAAGCAACAAGCUGAUAAGGGUAGGCCUGAAAGGGAGUUUUCAGUAGAUGAUUGGGUGUAUCUCAAGUUACAACCUUAUAGGCAGUUCUCAGUAGCUAUAGGGCAAAACUUGAAACUUUCUGCUAAGUACUAUGGGCCAUUUCAAGUGUGUGUUAAAAUUGGGAAAGUGGCUUACAAGUUAAAGUUGCUGUCUACCUCUACUAUUCAUCCUAUUUUUCAUGUUUCCUUAUUCAACAGGAAAUUAAGUGAUGGUGAGGUUCCUAUUACAGACCUGUUAUCCAAGAAGAUCAGUUUGUAGUCCUACCAGAUAAGGUGUUGCAUACAAGAGUGAUUAUUAGAGGUGAUCAGAAAGUGGAACAACAGUUUAUUAAAUGGCUGCAUUUGCCUGAAGAGGAUGCUACUUGAGAGGAUAAGAGUUCUAUUAGUACUCAAUUUCCAGAUUCUUCCCUUUCUUGGGGACAAGAAAGU